rnacentral:rRNA from 1 species
UACAGAGGGUGCGAGCGUUGUCCGGAAUCACUGGGCGUAAAGGGUGCGUAGGUGGGCAGGUAGGUCAGUGGUGAAAUCUCUGGGCUUAACCCGGAAACUGCCAUUGAUACUAUCUGUCUUGAAUACCGUGGAGGUUAGCGGAAUAUGUCAUGUAGCGGUGAAAUGCUUAGAUAUGACAUAGAACACCAAUUGCGAAGGCAGCUGGCUACACGAAUAUUGACACUGAUGCACGAAAGCGUGGGGAUCAAACAGG